UACAGAGGUCCCAAGCGUUGUUCGGAUUCACUGGGCGUAAAGGGUGCGUAGGCGGUCUGGUAAGUCUGCUGUGAAAUCUCACAGCUUAACUGUGAAACUGCAUUGGAUACUAUCCGGCUCGAGGAAUGGAGGGGAGACUGGAAUACUUGGUGUAGCAGUGAAAUGCGUAGAUAUCAAGUGGAACACCAGUGGCGAAGGCGAGUCUCUGGACAUUUCCUGACGCUGAGGCACGAAAGCCAGGGGAGCAAACGGG
rnacentral:rRNA from 1 species